AACCAAGAUUAUAAAGAAUGAUGUAGUGAGGUAGCUCUUGGUCUUUGCACACUGACUUGUCUGCUGUAUGAACCCAAAUGCAUUUGCUUAAUAAAUGGUAUUUGCUUCUUAACUGAAUGACCAGAGACUGUUUAUUAGAUCAUUUCUCCAACGGCCUUGUCUUCCAGUAUUUGCAGCGUGCGGAUGUACUCGGGCGGCAGCAGGUGGUUGAAGGAACACAGACCUUGGCCGAGUUUGAUGUAUAUUCCGCCGUUGCUCAGCGCUCCCUCCACCAUGCACUCUGCCGCCCUCUGGUGGCAGGCUGACAUCUCGGCCAAGUAGGAUGGGCUGCUCUAGCAGGGGAGGACGGCAGUGACACAUGAUUGUCCACACAAUAUUAAAGCAGCGUACUGGACGCCCACUGCCAAAGGAACGCCGACGGAGAUGCCAAACAGUGUCUUCCACAACAGCCCUCUGCGCUUCCCUUCCCUUCAAAGCAGGAAACAAUCCCAUUCAUCAAGACGGCAACAAAAUCAUCAUGG